CGGGAAUUGAAUGGGCGAAGCCUGAUCCGCAAUGCCGCGUGUGUGAAGAAGGCCUUCGGGUUGUAAAGCACUUUUGUCCGGAAAGAAAUGGCUCUGGUUAAUACCUGGGGUCGAUGACGGUACCGGAAGAAUAAGGACCGGCUAACUACGUGCCAGCAGCCGCGGUAAUACGUAGGGUCCAAGCGUUAAUCGGAAUUACUGGGCGUAAAGCGUGCGCAGGCGGUUGUGCAAGACCGAUGUGAAAUCCCCGAGCUUAACUUGGGAAUUGCAUUGGUGACUGCACGGCUAGAGUGUGUCAGAGGGGGGUAGAAUUCCACGUGUAGCAGUGAAAUGCGUAGAGAUGUGGAGGAAUACCGAUGGCGAAGGCAGCCCCCUGGGAUAACACUGACGCUCAUGCACGAAAGCGUGGG
rnacentral:rRNA from 1 species